rnacentral:rRNA from 1 species
GAUGAACGCUGGCGGCGUGCCUAAUACAUGCAAGUCGGGCGAACGGACGAGAAGCUUGCUUCUCUGAUGUUAGCGGCGGACGGGUGAGUAACACGUGGAUAACCUACCUAUAAGACUGGGAUAACUUCGGGAAACCGGAGCUAAUACCGGAUAAUAUUUUGAACCGCAUGGUUCAAAAGUGAAAGACGGUCUUGCUGUCACUUAUAGAUGGAUCCGCGCUGCAUUAGCUAGUUGGUAAGGUAACGGCUUACCAAGGCAACGAGGCAUAGCCGACCUGAGAGGGUGAUCGGCCACACUGGAACUGAGACACGGUCCAGACUCCUACGGGAGGCAGCAGUAGGGAAUCUUCCGCAAUGGGCGAAAGCCUGACGGAGCAACGCCGCGUGAGUGAUGAAGGUCUUCGGAUCGUAAAACUCUGUUAUUAGGGAAGAACAUAUGUGUAAGUAACUGUGCACAUCUUGACGGUACCUAAUCAGAAAGCCUCGGCUAACUACGUG